rnacentral:rRNA from 1 species
UACAGAGGGGGCAAGCGUUGUUCGGAAUUACUGGGCGUAAAGGGCGCGUAGGCGGCCCGCUAAGUCGAACGUGAAAUCCCCGGGCUUAACCCGGGAACUGCGUCCGAUACUGGCAGGCUUGAAUCCGGGAGAGGGAUGUGGAAUUCCAGGUGUAGCGGUGAAAUGCGUAGAUAUCUGGAGGAACACCGGUGGCGAAGGCGGCAUCCUGGACCGGUAUUGACGCUGAGGUACGAAAGCCAGGGGAGCAAACGGG